CGUCCACGCCCUGCGCUUUCGUGCCACCCGACGCAUUUGUUUCCCGUCCAGAGGACGCCGCAACCGGUUGGAGAACGGCCUUAAGGGCAGACGAUGGCAGGUGGCCGGUGAUUUUUCCCUCGGGAGAGUCUGCCGGUUGUUAGCCGGUUUCUGUCGCACGGCUCGUGAUCCGACCGUGGUGUCGCGAGACCCCUAGCGGGUCUCUUCGCCUCCUCCUUUCGCGGGAAGCCGGGAAUUGGCGGCACGGUCCCUCCCCCCUGCGGGCGCACUGACUGACUCAGUGGCCCAGCUAUCGGGAGGUCCGGUUGGUAGCCUUUUACCCGUUGGAGUGUCGGCGGUUAGCGGCGAGUAGAUCGGUCACCCACCCGACCCGUCUUGAAACACGGACCAAGGAGUCUAACAUGUGUGCGAGUCAAUGGGUCUCGAAUAAGCCCAGAGGCGCAAUGAAAGCAAAGGCCGGACUUGACUUCGGCUGUGUUGGGAUCCUCCUCUUGUCAAAUGGGGGAGGCGCACCAACGACCCGUCCCAUCCGAUUUAUCGGCGGGGCGGAGUCUGAGCAUACACGUUGGUACCCGAAAGAUGGUGAGCUAUGCCCGGGCAGGACGAAGCCAGAGG
rnacentral:rRNA from 1 species